AGAGUUUGAUCAUGGCUCAGAUUGAACGCUGGCGGCAGGCCUAACACAUGCAAGUCGAGCGGUAGCACAGAGAGCUUGCUCUCGGGUGACGAGCGGCGGACGGGUGAGUAAUGUCUGGGAAACUGCCUGAUGGAGGGGGAUAACUACUGGAAACGGUAGCUAAUACCGCAUAACGUCGCAAGACCAAAGUGGGGGACCUUCGGGCCUCAUGCCAUCAGAUGUGCCCAGAUGGGAUUAGCUAGUAGGUGGGGUAACGGCUCACCUAGGCGACGAUCCCUAGCUGGUCUGAGAGGAUGACCAGCCACACUGGAACUGAGACACGGUCCAGACUCCUACGGGAGGCAGCAGUGGGGAAUAUUGCACAAUGGGCGCAAGCCUGAUGCAGCCAUGCCGCGUGUGUGAAGAAGGCCUUCGGGUUGUAAAGCACUUUCAGCGGGGAGGAAGGCGAUAAGGUUAAUAACCUUGUCGAUUGACGUUACCCGCAGAAGAAGCACCGGCUAACUCCGUGCCAGCAGCCGCGGUAAUACGGAGGGUGCAAGCGUUAAUCGGAAUUACUGGGCGUAAAGCGCACGCAGGCGGUCUGUCAAGUCGGAUGUGAAAUCCCCGGGCUCAACCUGGGAACUGCAUUCGAAACUGGCAGGCUAGAGUCUUGUAGAGGGGGGUAGAAUUCCAGGUGUAGCGGUGAAAUGCGUAGAGAUCUGGAGGAAUACCGGUGGCGAAGGCGGCCCCCUGGACAAAGACUGACGCUCAGGUGCGAAAGCGUGGGGAGCAAACAGGAUUAGAUACCCUGGUAGUCCACGCCGUAAACGAUGUCGAUUUGGAGGUUGUGCCCUUGAGGCGUGGCUUCCGGAGCUAACGCGUUAAAUCGACCGCCUGGGGAGUACGGCCGCAAGGUUAAAACUCAAAUGAAUUGACGGGGGCCCGCACAAGCGGUGGAGCAUGUGGUUUAAUUCGAUGCAACGCGAAGAACCUUACCUGGUCUUGACAUCCACAGAACUUUCCAGAGAUGGAUUGGUGCCUUCGGGAACUGUGAGACAGGUGCUGCAUGGCUGUCGUCAGCUCGUGUUGUGAAAUGUUGGGUUAAGUCCCGCAACGAGCGCAACCCUUAUCCUUUGUUGCCAGCGGUCCGGCCGGGAACUCAAAGGAGACUGCCAGUGAUAAACUGGAGGAAGGUGGGGAUGACGUCAAGUCAUCAUGGCCCUUACGACCAGGGCUACACACGUGCUACAAUGGCAUAUACAAAGAGAAGCGACCUCGCGAGAGCAAGCGGACCUCAUAAAGUAUGUCGUAGUCCGGAUUGGAGUCUGCAACUCGACUCCA
rnacentral:rRNA from 1 species